UUGACCUGGCUCAGGACGAACGCUGGCGGCGUGCUUACACAUGCAAGUGGAGCGACGAACCAUGCUUCGGCCUGGGGCAGAGCCGCGAACGGGUGAGUACACGUGGGUAACCUGCCUCGAUGACUGGGACAACCCGGGGAAACCCGGGCUAAUACCGGAUGUGCUGCGCUCUCAUAAGUGAGCGCUGGAAAGGAAGCUUCGGCCUCCGCAUCGAGAUGGGCCCGCGGCCCAUUAGCUUGUUGGUGAGGUAACGGCUCACCAAGGCUGCGAUGGGUAGCUGGUCUGAGAGGACGAUCAGCCACACUGGGACUGAGACACGGCCCAGACUCCUACGGGAGGCAGCAGUGGGGAAUCUUGCGCAAUGCGCGAAAGCGUGACGCAGCAACGCCGCGUGGGGGAAGAAGGCCUUCGGGUUGUAAACCCCUUUCGGCAGGGACGAAGCCGCAAGGUGACGGUACCUGCAGAAGAAGCUCCGGCUAACUACGUGCCAGCAGCCGCGGUAAGACGUAGGGAGCGAGCGUUGUCCGGAUUCAUUGGGCGUAAAGAGCGCGUAGGCGGCCGUGCAAGUCGGUUGUGAAAUCCCGGGGCUCAACCCCGUGACUGCGUCCGAUACUGCACGGCUCGAGGCAGGUAGGGGAGAGUGGAAUUCCCGGUGUAGCGGUGAAAUGCGCAGAUAUCGGGAGGAACACCGGUGGCGAAGGCGGCUCUCUGGACCUGUCCUGACGCUGAGGCGCGAAAGCUAGGGGAGCGAACAGGAUUAGAUACCCUGGUAGUCCUAGCCGUAAACGUUGGGUGCUAGGUGUGGGCGGAUAUCGACCCCGUCCGUGCCGAAGCUAACGCAUUAAGCACCCCGCCUGGGGAGUACGGCCGCAAGGCUAAAACUCAAAGGAAUUGACGGGGGCCCGCACAAGCGGCGGAGCAUGUGGCUUAAUUCGAUGCAACGCGAAGAACCUUACCUGGGCUUGACAUGCGGGGUGAAGCCGUGGAAACACGGUCCUCUACGGAGCCCGCACAGGUGGUGCAUGGCUGUCGUCAGCUCGUGCCGUGAGGUGUUGCCUUAAGUGGCGCAACGAGCGCAACCCCUGUCCCUAGUUGCCAGCGGGUCAUGCCGGGAACUCCUAGGGAGACUGCCGGUGCCAAACCGGAGGAAGGUGGGGAUGACGUCAAGUCAUCAUGCCCAUUAAGUCCAGGGCUGCACACAUGCUACAAUGCGCGGUACAGAGGGCUGCGAUCCCGCAAGGGGGAGCGAAUCCCAAAAAGCCGCGCUCAGUUCGGAUCGGGGUCUGCAACCCGACCCCGUGAAGUCGGAUCGCUAGUAAUCGCAGAUCAGCACGCUGCGGUGAUACGUU
rnacentral:rRNA from 1 species